UCGUUACGGUGACAUUUCUGUUUAUCUCUUCGAAGGUUUUUUUCCGUGUACAUGAAAAAUUGAGACACGGUGAAUCGUGAUUAGAUAAGGAAAAGUUUUGUAUUAUUGAUACUGCGUGACGUGAGCCCUCGCAGGGGUAGAGGAUUUAUUAUCAAUCGUUAGAAAUGGAAUAAUAUAAUCGUGCCAAAAGGUGUUAGUACAUCGACGACAGGCUUUCGAGUCGAGGAAUCUAAGACUGGGGAAUAAAAAGAAAAGCGAAACAUUUUUAAGAAAUGGACGAAAUUAAAUCAUCAUCAGAACCGGGACGAUUCCGGCAGACCCUCGCUGCGGUGCUUGUUAACAUCGCUGCCUUAGCGUACGGUAUAAUGCUAGCAUGGCCAUCACCGGCAAUUCCACAGCUGCAGAGCGUCGAUACACCGGUGGGAAAUACGCCACUGACAGAGGAGCAGGCUUCAUGGGUGACAGGUUCAUU